CCUACGGGUGGCUGCAGUCGAGAAUCUUUCACAAUGGGGGAAACCCUGAUGGUGCGACGCCGCGUGGGGGAAUGAAGGUCUUCGGAUUGUAAACCCCUGUCAUGUGGGAGCAAAUUAAAAAGAUAGUACCACAAGAGGAAGAGACGGCUAACUCUGGGCCAGCAGACACGGUAAGACGGAGGAUGCGAGCGUUAUCGGGAUUUAUUGGGUUAAAACGGUGCGCAGGCGGUAUGUAAAGUCAGCGGUCAAAGCCUGGGUCUAAAACGUGGACCGCCGUUGAAACUGGCAGUCUUGAGUUGGGGAGAGGUAUGCGGAAUGCGCGGUGUAGCGGUGAAAUGCAUAGAUAUCGCGCAGAACUCCGAUUGCGAAGGCAGCAUGCCGGCUCCACACUGACGCUGAGGCACGAAAGCGUGGGUAUCGAACAGGAUUAGAUACCCUUGUAGUC
rnacentral:rRNA from 1 species